rnacentral:tRNA from 1 species
UCCUUGGUGGCUCAGAUGUAAAGCAUCUGCCUGCCAUGCAGAAGACCUGGGUUAGAUCCCUGGAUCGGGAA